rnacentral:rRNA from 1 species
UACAGGGGGGGCAAGCGUUGUUCGGAAUUACUGGGCGUAAAGCGUGCGUAGGUGGUGAGUUAAGUCUGUCGUGAAAGCCCCGGGCUCAACCUGGGAAUGGCGAUGGAUACUGGCUCGCUAGAGUGCGGUAGAGGAGAGUGGAAUUCCCGGUGUAGCAGUGAAAUGCGUAGAUAUCUGGAGGAACACCGGUGGCGAAGGCGGCAUCCUGGACCGACACUGACGCUGAGGAGCGAAAGCCAGGGAGCAAAGCGGG